AGAAAGUAACGGCCGGUGUGUAUCAAAUGGUGAAUGCGUGCUAAUGGCACAUGCAGCACAGAUUCUAAUCCAAAAGUGAAAGUAUCAACACUUGAACCCAGAAAAUCCCAACAGAAAAAGAGGAUGUGACUCUGACAUCCUAAGAACUGUUCCCAUGAAGACUUCAAGGAUUAAGUCCCAAGAAGUUGGUAUAAAUUGUACAAAAGGGAACAAUUUCUGCUAAAUAUAUUUGGUUUCAGACAAGGAGCUUAUUUGUAACAUAUGGCAUAUAUUUUUUGUGUCUGUAUAUGAUGCAUUAAUUAAAUUAAUUCAUGGAAGAAA